UACGAAGGGGGCUAGCGUUGCUCGGAUUGACUGGGCGUAAAGGGCGCGUAGGCGGUUCGUACAGUCAGACGUGAAAUUCCCUGGGCUCAACCUGGGGCUGCGUUUGAUACGUGCGGACUUGAGUGCGGAAGAGGUCGUGGAAUUCCCAGUGUAGAGGUGAAAUUCGUAGAUAUUGGGAAGAACACCGGUGGCGAAGGCGGCGACCUGGUCCGAUACUGACGCUGAGGCGCGAAAGCGUGGGGAGCAAACAGG
rnacentral:rRNA from 1 species